ACGACCCCUGCCGGCGUGCCUAAUACAUGCAAGUCGAGCGGACAAGGGAGCUUGCUCCURGAGGUUAGCGGCGAACGGGUGAGUAACACGUGGGCAACCUGCCUGUAAGACUGGGAUAACAUCGAGAAAUCGGUGCUAAUACCGGAUAAUAAAAAGAACUGCAUGGUUCUUUUUUGAAAGAUGGUUUCGGCUAUCACUUACAGAUGGGCCCGCGGCGCAUUAGCUAGUUGGUGAGGUAACGGCUCACCAAGGCGACGAUGCGUAGCCGACCUGAGAGGGUGAUCGGCCACACUGGGACUGAGACACGGCCCAGACUCCUACGGGAGGCAGCAGUAGGGAAUCUUCCGCAAUGGACGAAAGUCUGACGGAGCAACGCCGCGUGAGUGAUGAAGGUUUUCGGAUCGUAAAACUCUGUUGUUAGGGAAGAACAAGUGCCGUUCGAAAGGGCGGCACCUUGACGGUACCUAACGAGAAAGCCACGGCUAACUACGUGCCAGCAGCCGCGGUAAUACGUAGGUGGCAAGCGUUGUCCGGAAUUAUUGGGCGUAAAGCGCGCGCAGGCGGUCUCUUAAGUCUGAUGUGAAAGCCCCCGGCUCAACCGGGGAGGGUCAUUGGAAACUGGGAGACUUGAGUACAGAAGAGGAGAGUGGAAUUCCACGUGUAGCGGUGAAAUGCGUAGAGAUGUGGAGGAACACCAGUGGCGAAGGCGACUCUCUGGUCUGUAACUGACGCUGAGGCGCGAAAGCGUGGGGAGCAAACAGGAUUAGAUACCCUGGUAGUCCACGCCGUAAACGAUGAGUGCUAGGUGUUAGGGGUUUCGAUGCCCUUAGUGCCGAAGUUAACACAUUAAGCACUCCGCCUGGGGAGUACGACCGCAAGGUUGAAACUCAAAGGAAUUGACGGGGGCCCGCACAAGCAGUGGAGCAUGUGGUUUAUUUCGAAGCAACGCGAAGAACCUUACCAGGUCUUGACAUCCUUUGACCACCCUAGAGAUAGGGCUUUCCCUUCGGGGACAAAGUGACAGGUGGUGCAUGGUUGUCGUCAGCUCGUGUCGUGAGAAKUU
rnacentral:rRNA from 2 species